rnacentral:rRNA from 1 species
AGUGAACGCUGGCGGUAGGCCUAACACAUGCAAGUCGAACGGCAGCACAGUAAGAGCUUGCUCUUACGGGUGGCGAGUGGCGGACGGGUGAGGAAUACAUCGGAAUCUACUUUUUCGUGGGGGAUAACGUAGGGAAACUUACGCUAAUACCGCAUACGACCUACGGGUGAAAGCAGGGGAUCUUCGGACCUUGCGCGAGUGAAUGAGCCGAUGUCGGAUUAGCUAGUUGGCGGGGUAAAGGCCCACCAAGGCGACGAUCCGUAGCUGGUCUGAGAGGAUGAUCAGCCCCACUGGAACUGAGACACGGUCCAGACUCCUACGGGAGGCAGCAGUGGGGAAUAUUGGACAAUGGGCGCAAGCCUGAUCCAGCCAUACCGCGUGGGUGAAGAAGGCCUUCGGGUUGUAAAGCCCUUUUGUUGGGAAAGAAAAGCAGCAGGUUAAUACCCCGCUGUUCUGACGGUACCCAAAGAAUAAGCACCGGCUAACUUCGUG